rfam:Bombyx mori DNA, contig: Bm_scaf32_contig19898, strain: p50T/Dazao, build 2, whole genome shotgun sequence.
GCACUUCGGCAGUACAAAUAUUAAAAUUGGAACGAUACAGAGAAGAUUAAUAUGGCCCCAGCGCAAGGAUGACACGAAAAAAGAUAUCACUAGAUAGAUAGAU